CCUACGGGGGGCAGCAGUGGGGAAUAUUGGACAAUGGGGGCAACCCUGAUCCAGCCAUGCCGCGUGUGUGAAGAAGGCCCUCGGGUUGUAAAGCACUUUCAGUGAGGAAGAACGCCUGGUGGUUAAUACCCAUCAGGAAAGACAUCACUCACAGAAGAAGCACCGGCUAACUCCGUGCCAGCAGCCGCGGUAAUACGGAGGGUGCGAGCGUUAAUCGGAAUUACUGGGCGUAAAGCGCGCGUAGGUGGCUUGAUAAGCCGGUUGUAAAAGCCCCGGGCUCAACCUGGGAACGGCAUCCGGAACUGUCAAGCUAGAGUGCAGGAGAGGAAGGUAGAAUUCCCGGUGUAGCGGUGAAAUGCGUAGAGAUCGGGAGGAAUACCAGUGGCGAAGGCGGCCUUCUGGACUGACACUGACACUGAGGUGCGAAAGCGUGGGUAGCAAACAGGAUUAGAUACCCGGGUAGUC
rnacentral:rRNA from 1 species